UUGUCAAUUCUUUUCAUUUUUAGCUUCUUAUAUGAAGCCCUAAGGAUGCAUAUACUAGGGCGGUAAAACUAAUUUACUCUGUUUAAAAAAAAAAACAAAAAAAAAACUGGAGUGCUAAAACUAAAACACACUUUGCUUUUCACUCCAUUCAAUUGAAUACACAAUCAAUAAACCAAUAAUCUACUUCCAUCUUCUAUUCUCCUUGAUGCCGACUCUUCUAUUGUCGCUGCCUUCAAGAGUUUCCUUCAGUUCGCCGCUUGUCAAGAUCAUCCGUGAUCACCCUUAAAGGCGACGAGUCCCCUUCCUUCAUCACUCCUCCUUUAUCCUUCUGGCCACAAGUCAGGGGGUAGGCCACUGCUCCAAGGGUUUGCUCCUCCUUCGAGGGUUUGGGCGACUAGCGUCACUGUCUCACUGAAGGGAAUUUCGGCCCUCAUUCACGAUUUGUAGCUGCUGGUGAGAAGUACUUAGAAGCAUUGGUUAUCCUUGAGUCAUGAUCAGGUCUACUUUAUUGAACACCAACUUAUAAUUUUAUUAUUCAAUUGUUUGCCGAGAGUGCAGUCCAUGUCUAAAUGAUGUUAUGCUUCUCUAUUUAAAGGUAUCUAAAUGAUUAGGCCUCACAAUCUCACAAUAAACUUAUGAAGCGUUUUCUAUUUGGGGAUGAUAUUAUUAUUCUAUUAUUUUGAGAAUUAGAAGCUUAGGUGCCAUACUUACUACUUCUUCCUAUGAGUAUCUUAAAGUUUGAUCAAAUCUAUUAUAUAUGAAAAUUCCUUCUUCCUAUGAGUAUCUUAAAUAUAAUUAUUCUAUUGAACGUGGGAGUUUAAUCAAAUCUCAUUAAUUAUACGGAGUAUUAUUUAUGAUUGAUAGGUUGUAUAAUACUAAGUUAUUAACUGAUUUUAGCAGUUUAUACAAAAGCCAUUUGAUCUAAAUCGGGAGCUGCCCAUUGUAGACAAUCAUAUACAUCUAUGCAUGGUAAACCUUUUAUCAUUUUGUUUUUGUACCUAUUGAAAUAUUUGAAUCUCUCCAAAUAAGACUAUGUGAGAUUGUGAGGCCUAAUCAUAUCUAAAUGAUGUUCUGCUUCUCUAUUUUAAGUUUUAUUUACUACUAUUAAUUUUGCUACUGUUUUGUUUGGGAUCUAAUUUCUUCUUAGACAAACUAGCUUUGAGUCCAUCUCACUUGCUGAGUGAAUUUUCGGAACACUAUCAACGGAGAGUAAGCUCGGAAGCUUUAGCUCCAAAUCCACAUUUGUUUCAUUAUUAUCUAGAAGUUUUGAAGCUUUAACUCUCAAGAGUAUUGCAUAUGAGCUGUUAGUAUGAUUGUCUUUAUUAAUUUCUACUCCCCUCUAGGUUUCUAUGUGUAUUUUACCUCCACACUACAGGGCCGAAAUACAAAUUAAUUAGAGCAGGCCUUACAAGUGUUGAAAUCAUAGGUAUCAUCAAAGAAGUUGUGAAUCUGAUAAUGUUUAACUGGACCUACAAGGUUACUUUUUUGUAUUCCAUCUCCAUCAUAUCUUUUCUCACUAGAGUAGCUCCUAGUUUCUCAUAUAAUGUAUUUUCAUUAAUCUUUUGACUAUCUUGAGUUUGUUGUACAAUUAGGAAGUGCUGACUCUGUUCUUCUUUGGUUCUCAAAUUUAAAAUUACAAACUGGGCAUAGACUAGUGAACCACCUAAUACAAAACCGCUUACAUGGUAACCCUCAUUCCAUGUAUGCUAGCUCUUGUUAUCAUCAAAAGUUACAUGCUUUCAUCCUCAUAGCUUGAAAAGUUACAUGCUUACUAGCUCUACCUUUUGUUGUGUUUUUGCUGUUAAUUUUUUCUUAUGUUUCGAUAAAUUUGUGAGUUUUGGUGUAAUUUUUCUAGGUUAAUAUAUCUGUGUAUAUUGUAUGUAGUUUUGAGCUGAAAUUAGGUGGUUUUUGUUAAAUUUUCAGGGUUUUAAUGUUUUUAGGGCUGCUUUUUUCUUAGCAUUUUCUUGGUGUUUUUCUCUGAAAUAUCCUGUACUACAACAGAAUUGUGCUCGGUUUCAAAGUGCUCGGUUUCACAGUGCUCAAUAUACUCUAAUGUUCUAUCUAUUUUUUAUAACAAAAUUUUAGGAAUACAGAUUAAAAUGCAUGAUUUGUGUAUUUCUUUUCAAUAUGUAGCAUUAGUUUUGGCUCUUAUAAUUGUGUAGUCAAUGCUAGUCCGACCAGUCUGCUUUGGACUUUCUUUCUUAGUGUACUAUAUGCUCACAUUGGCUCAUACUUAUUUUCGUAUAUGUAGAUUUCCUUCUUCUAAAAUUUUAUUAAGCUAAAUUUUAGACUCAUAACGACAGAUUUGGUCGGAGAAAGCCUAGUGUUUUAGACGCUCCAGAGCUUGACACUCUUGUAGUUAGACGCUGUUGCAGCUACCGCUUUUCUGAUUGUUGGUGUUCCAAUUAUAGUGUAUUCCAAUGGACUAAUUGUAUUUUUUGGGGAUGAAAACUUGAAAAGGGUAAAAUUACAGGUUAUUAAUGAAAAUAUCUAAGUUUUUUGUAUAUAUAUGUUUUGUAUCUGUGGAUUAAAUUGCGUGAAAAAAAUUGCAAAUUACAAUAUAUUAGCCACUAUAGUAUAUGUGACAAACAAGCUUAUUUGCAACCGUAAUAUUUGUGGCAAACAAGCUUAUUAGCCACAAUAAAUUGUGUGUCAAUAAUGUCUAUUAGCCACGGUUGAAUUUGUGGCAAAUAAUUUGUUAGCCACAUUAAUACUCGUGGAAAGUGAAUUUGUUUGCCACGUUGAUUCCCAUUGCACAAAAAUUAAAAUUUGCCACGACAUCAAUUUUCCCGUGGCAAAUUUCUAGUCACGGCCUCUUGAGCCAUGGGAAUUAAUUUUAAAAUUCCCGUGGCUAAAUUACAUAGCAACGGGAAUUUUAAACUUAGUGCCACAAUUUUACUCGUGGCACAAAGGUCAAUUUGUUGUAGUGUUAAAGUCACUUUUGCAUCAAAAUCACUAUACAAACCAUUAACUGUCUUACUGACCUCGUUUUUCCUUUUGCUACAUCUUAAGCACACUCUGGUGGAGGACAAAUUUGAACCAAGUGUGGAGAAUGACCCUUUCACCAUAGCUUCGGAAGGCUAUACCAUCCAGGACGAGUAGUAGGUUCGGGAGUUUCAUUGCUUGGAUGGAAAAAGGUGAUGGGUUCAGAAUACAUGAAAUCGGGUAGAUCUCGAGCCAGUGUUAGGGUAUAUUGGCAAAAUACAGCUGUGAAGGUAGUUGUAGCUGUGGAGAUAGUUGUGAGCUGUGUAUGUAGCUGUUAGCUGUCAACAAGUUGUUAGCUAUGAAGAUAAAUAAUUUAGAUAUGAGGGUUUGAUAAAGUAGCGGUUGACUAGCUGUUACAUAUAAAAAUCAACAUUUUAUUUUUAAAACUAUAGAUUAAAUUUUCAACAGCUACCUCAAAAGCUACCUCUAAUUUCAAAAGCUAAUCUUUCUAACUUUUCAUAAAAGCUACCUCCACAACUAAAAGCUACCCUAACCACUACUUUGCCAAACACUUACAUUUUUUGUUAAGUAGUGAUUUGACUUGGUCAAACCACUAAAAGCUGCCUAAAAGCUACUCAAAAGCUAGUGCCGAACACGCCCUUAACUCAUCGGGGGAGUUGGAUUGCAAGGUGGCAUCAAUUAAGGAACAAGUACGCAACGAGUUAGUAGGUAAAUUCAAUGCUUGGGCGAAGCAAAUGAACUUACCGACUUUGCCGUUCCUCGCGAGUACACCAGUCGACUCAUGUUCUCAACCAAAAGGACAUGGAGGUGAUGAGAUACGCGGUGAAGAUGUGUCACCUCAGGUUCUUACUCCUACACAUGCGGACUCGAGGGAGCUUGAUAAUCCAACACCGCAUGAAUAUCCAGGAAGACACCCAGUGUGCACUUCUAGCCCCGGGGCAUGCAAAUAAUAUGGAGUUGAGUUUCGUGGCGUAUGGUAGUGCCCAAGCGACGACCGGUGCUACGGCGGGGCCGCUUCAUUACUCGAUUGGGAUCGAUUCGGUGGUUGAGGGGUUCGAAGACAUCCCACUGCCCGUACCGAUAGAGGAGGUUGAGAUAACAAAGCUUUGGCAAGCUAUAUGCAGCUUCGUUGAAUGGCCACGUGCGUGGGUCAAGUUGAUUAAUAAGGAGGUAAAUUAUUUAUUUCUCAAUUUUUUUAGUGUUAAAUAACCGUUAGGCACUCUGAAAAUAAAACCGCUGAAAUAUCACGACUCCCCAGCCCCCACCUCCAAUGCCGAGGCAGCGGCGGCCUUGGCUGGUGCUCCUUGCGCUUCUCCGGCCUCCGCAACGGCUGCCAGGAAACUUAGACCUUAGGAGCCGCUGCCGGGACUGCUCCGGCAUCAGAAUUACGCAGCCCUGACAGCCUGCUGCCUUGGCUGCAGCAGCCCUAGCAGCGGAUGCCUGGGUGCAGCAGCCCCAGCAGCGGCUUCCUUGGCUGCAGCAGCAAGGCAGCAGGCUGUCAGGGUUGCAGCAGCAAGGCAGCAGGCUGUCAGGGCUGCUGCAGCCUCGGCAGCCCCUACCUAGGGUGCAGCAGCCCAGGCAGGCUGUUGCCGAGUGAGAAAUAACAAGUUCAUAAGUUGAAUAAUGAAGAAAAUAGGCAUGCAAAAAGCCAUUCCGCCGAGUGAGUUGAGAAAAGCAUUGAUCGACCUAAGAAGAAGCUAAGUGAACAAAGGUCCAAGAGUGAACAAGCGUCGAAGUUGCACUCUUCGAAAGGUUCACCCAUGCAACCUACUCCACUAGUUGAAGACAUUGUUCUUCAAACGCUCUCUGAUGACAUGACCUUUCUUCACAACCGUGCUUGUCAUUUGGUUGAUCCCAUGGAAGUUGCACUUCCUAAGGCAAUGUUCCACUAUGAUGAGGAUGCAGUUGCAUGGAUCAACAAA